AUACGUAGGGUGCAAGCGUUAAUCGGAAUUACUGGGCGUAAAGCGUGCGCAGGCGGUUCGGAAAGAAGGAUGUGAAAUCCCAGGGCUCAACCUUGGAACUGCAUUCUUAACUACCGAACUAGAGUAUGUCAGAGGGGGGUAGAAUUCCGCGUGUAGCAGUGAAAUGCGUAGAUAUGCGGAGGAAUACCGAUGGCGAAGGCAGCCCCCUGGGAUAAUACUGACGCUCAUGCACGAAAGCGUGGGUAGCAAACAGGAUUAGGUACCCUGGUAGUCCACGCCCUAAACGAUGUCAACUAGCUGUUGGGCCCUUCGGGGCUUAGUAGCGUAGCUAACGCGUGAAGUUGACCGCCUGGGGAGUACGGUCGCAAGAUUAAAACUCAAAUGAAUUGACGGGG
rnacentral:rRNA from 1 species